CACAUCAACUGAGUUUCCCAGUUUCUUGUGUUCUGGAACAAGAACUGGACCAGGGACACAUGGAUGGUGAAGAAAGAAAGGAAGAAAAGAAAAAUACCCCCCAGAAUGAGAGUGUGCCCAAGGACUAGGAAAGUCUAAGUCUGAAAAGCCUUGGACCAAGGUCUCUGCUCUUUAUAGGACCUCCAUCUUUUCUAGCAAGUAGGGAAGGCAGGGCUUUGUUUUUAAAGCAUGCAGUUUAGUUAUGCAUAGAUCUGUUGGAGAGGUUUCCAGUCUUCCUUUGGGAUUGGUUUUUGUUUAUUUGCCUCUAGAAUUUCCUAUUCUUCUACCUCACUUUACCCCAUCCUCAGAGCUGUGGUUCCAAAAAUCUCUUUGAGGCGCUAAAGGAUGAUAAUCUGUUUUGUAUAAUUUCCAUGUUAAUGAGGGAUGUAGUCUUUGCCAAAGAGAGACCAAAGCUCGACUCCUAUUUUAUCCAGUGGUUGGAGAGGAGGCUUUGGAGUUUUUGUUUUGGGAGUCGGCUUAAAUCCUUGUAUCAUAAUGAUAAAUUGUACAUGGUUUCUUAAAAAUGUUAAGAAUUUGGGCAUGGUUUAGCAUUUAAGAGCACCAAUUGCGGGGUUGGGGAUUUAGCUCAGUGCUAGAGCACUUGCCUAGCAAGCGCAAGCCCUGGGUUCGGUCCCCAGCUCCGAAAAAAAAAGAAAAAAAAAAAAGAAAAGGAAAAAGAAAAAAAAGAGCACCAAUUGCCCUUGCAGGAACCUUGAGUCUGAUUCUUAGCACCUACAUGGUAACUCACAACCAUCCGAAACUGUAGCUUCUAAGGAUGUCACAACUUUUUCUGACAUACGCAGGCACCAGACAUGCACACGAUACACAUACAGAUGUAAGAAAAACAUCCAUAUACCUAAAAUAAAUAAAUUUUUUUAAAAAUUGUCAAUGCAAGAAUAAUAUGAUUAUUUCAACCAUUAGUCCCAGAAAGGACCAGAGUCAGGCAACCCAUAGCUAUAUAUGCUUAUGUAGAUAUGGUCCUUUAGACUGUUAAAACAAGAACCCAAACAAAACAAAAUCCACAAACAAAAACCAAACUGAUUGUGGCAAAAUACAAAAAGAACAAUUUGUAGAAAAAAAUGCAGUACUGGAAUCUAUUAAGGAGAAGGAAGUGUGGGAUUGUGACCAUAGAGUACCAACGGUGCCAAAAGAAAAAAUGGAAAACCAAAGCAUACGGUUAUAAGUACUGAUUGUUAAUUUGCCUUUAAGAAGUUAAAGCAUCCUGUUAUUGUCUAAAGAGAUCCUUUAAAUCCUUCAGCCUUUUAAUGUAGGUAGCCUGUCUUUAAGAUAUUCUUGAGGCUAUGGACUUGGGUCUGUGGACACUGGUGCACCUCCUUAGAAGGACCUCCAACAGGUUAUAUCCUGUCUCCAAACAGCUAGUGCCCUUCUUUAGCCAACUAGUAUCCUGUCAGAACAGUAUAUUGUCUCUGCCCAGGAUCUCAGAGAAAUAAGAUUUUAGCAAUGUGCUAAGUUGUAACCAAAAUAAGGAAGACUUUUCCUUUUUGGUAAGACUUCAUAGUAAGUCCUUUUUUAUUACAUACAGAGUAAGUAUAACCAGUUUGAUGUUACUGCUUGAUGGUAUUGUAAAUUCCAUAAUUUUCAUUAUGGAAAAGAAGUUCAACUUAAAGAUCUUUGGCAAAUAUAACCACCAUUCUAGAUGUAUCUCGGCUUUACCAGAAAUCUUAUCUCCAUCACUUGUACACAGGAACACUACUAUAAAAGGAAUCAGCCCAACAGAAGAAUUCUUAACACAGCAUUCAGAGCACUGGAUCAACAUAAAGCAUUUUGAUGCUGUUUUAUUUUUGUUACCCUUGACUUUGAAAAAAUGAAAUAAAAUUUUAAAUCUUUCACAGAA
rnacentral:lncRNA from 1 species